rnacentral:rRNA from 1 species
UGCCCCACAGUUCCCCGCCCGGGAACUAGGAGCUGGUAUCAGGCACCCUCCCUCCGCCCACGACACCUUGCUUAGCCACACCCCCAAGGGAACUCAGCAGUGAAAGACAUUAAGCCAUAAGUGAAAACUUGACUUAGUUAAAGCUAACUAGGGCCGGUAAAACUCGUGCCAGCCACCGCGGUUAUACGAGAGGCCCAAGUUGACAGACACCGGCGUAAAACGUGGCUAAACUAUGCCCCAKACUAAGGCCAAACGCCCUCAAAGCUGUGAUACGCAGACGAGGCUAGGAAGUCCCACCACGAAAGUGGCCUUAAUCCAACUUGAACCCACGAAAGCUAGGAGACAAACUGGGAUUAGAUACCCCACUAUGCCUAGCCCUAAACAUUGAUAGCACUCUACCCCCGCUAUCCGCCCGGGAACUACGAGCAACAGCUUAAAACCCAAAGGACUUGGCGGUGCUUUAGACCCCCCUAGAGGAGCCUGUUCUAGAACCGAUAACCCCCGUUCAACCUCACCUCUCCUUGUUUUACCCGCCUAUAUACCGCCGUCGUCAGCCUACCCUGUGAAGGACAAAUAGUAAGCAAGCUUGGCACAGCCCAAAACGUCAGGUCGAGGUGUAGCGCAUGAAGAGGGAAGAAAUGGGCUACAUUCACUACGACAGUGAACACGAAUGGCGUGCUGAAACGCACCCCUGAAGGAGGAUUUAGCAGUAAGCAG